GAAUCUGGAGACACCUCUGCUAUGGUGUUACCAAGCCUCCGGGAAGCUAGACUCACGUGUACCUUCACCUGUUUUGGAACAAGAUGUCAAGGGGGCAGCUAGGUUUCAUUUCCCAGGCUCUCUUGGAGUUAAGUGGGACUAAGAAUUGAGUUCCAGCCCACAGAAUGAAAGCCUUACAAGAGACCUCUUGGGGAGUCCACCAUGGCUUCCUCUAUUAGAGGACUGAAUGCAGAAGGGAGAGGGGAAUCCUAAAAAUCACAUUGUAAUUGGACGAGUGCUCAACCUCACACUACUGGAUUAUGUUGAAAGUCAUACACAUCUAUAGUGAGACGCCACUGUGACGCAGACACUUUCAUUACAAUUAUGCCUCGAGAUAUAGAGGGCUAGAGUCUAAAAGCACAC
rnacentral:lncRNA from 1 species